UCCUGGUGCUUGUUGGUAGGGGAAUCUGCAACCGCCCAACCAAGGUAACAAGCAGAGCACAAAACACAGUCAUCCAUAUAAUAUGCAUCCCCAAGGAUUGGGAAGUGUGUCCACCAAAGAACCCUACAUGCAGUGGAUGUUACUGGGCACAACAGCAAAUUAAUUUUAUUGCACCCAACAUAUCCAGCGGUUGUCUUGUUUUACCAAUAUAUGUUGAAAUUGCUCUUAACGUUUGGGGCCCUCUGCAGCUGCAGGGUCUGCUUCUUCUGUAGUUCCACCCCUGCCCACAAGACAGGCAACAGGGCACUGGGCAGAUAGAGCUGGGAGCUGUGCCCUGAAGAUUAAAGCAAACUUCAUGUGCUUGGAUUGAGAAUGUGGAGACACUGUGGAUGUCUGUACCAGCUCUGUGUGAUUCCCGGUGAGUCUGACUGAGGGAGAUAUUGAAACUCCAGCGUGUUCCCUGGAUGAAGACAAGUGUUGUCUGUGUGCCUGCUACGUGGGAGCAACUACUCUGUCCAACAGGAGAGUUUUUGAAUUAUCUGCCCUGUUCGUCUGACACUUUCCUGCUUUCACAUCGGGGUCACUGACCCCAUCUAAAGAACAAAUGCUCUGUAAGUGCAUCCCUGGAUCCCACUAGGUGGAGACACUGCCAUGGAGAGACAUUCCCUGUACCCUUUUUAUUUAGCAAAGGGGAUUCAGGACCUGUGUAUGGGGAACAACUGAUGGAAUAUCCCAUUUAUCCAGAUGAGACCGUUACAUAUAUUUGGCAAGUGACUCAAGGAGAUGCCCCAUUGUCAUCUGAUCCACGUUGUCUAACAAGACUGAACUCCAGCUCCUUUGAUCCACAGAAAUAUUUAUCUUCUGGGCCUUUUGGACCUGCAAGAUUCGCAAGAUGGCGACGGUGAGCUCCGCUGCGCUUCUCUGCAUUUAAGGAUCAUGUUUUCUAUGCUGGUGGUGCAACUGUUCAUCUUCUUAGCGGAAAUCCUCCCGAGGGCACAUCACCAGGUUUUGCCCUGUUCCCAGGUUUUUGAUGUGCGUGUGCCAGUGGGUGCACUGAGUAUACAGCCUUAUUGCCAUGAUGGAGGAUGCCCAGAAUGACCAUUAUAAACAGAAUCUCCAUCCUGUUAUCCCAGUGUAAGAAUGCUUGUUGCAGCAGCCAUGCCCGCUGGAGGACUGUGUCUCUCACCUACAGGUCUUUUCUUACCCAUCAUCCCCUUUGGACUUAAAAUGCUGCAUAGUUAAAGUCCAGAAAGGCUUCAUCGAUCUCGCUUGCCAUCUCAGCAGGGGGUCCUUUGGGCUGGGUCAGAUUCGCAGACAGCUUGGUGAACUCCUCAUCGAAAUACCCCACAUCCUCCGGUCCAUUUAGGCUGGGCACGAACGGAGCUGUUACGUUCUUCUCAAUAAUAUCAUCCCAGACAAUGCCCUGCAAAAUAGGCACCAUAACAAAUGCUCAUUAUUAGAGUUUCAUCAUUAGAAGCUGAGGAUAUGAAAGGACUGUAUCUCUUGGAUAAUUAUUUGGACAAUACAGACAGGGGACUUACAUUAAAGAAUGGAUGUUCUGCUACAUCUGCGGCAUUCCCCGGGGUGGAACCUAGCCUCUCCUCAGGAUUCUUCUUCAACAGCUACAAGAAGUGAAAAUAGCCGUUACACUGAAGAAGCAGAAGCUUCAGGGAACUCAAGAGAAAGUGGUCACUGAUUAUAAUAAACUGAAAGCUCAGCGCUACUUACCUGUGAUAUGAAGCUUACUGCUUCGGAGUCCAGGGAUGAGGGGUAGUGUGGCUCAUCCUCCACGAUGGAAUCAUAUAUAAAGUCCCUGUCGUAUCCGGUGAAAGGCUUUUAAAUGGGGAUCACUGGCCCCAUCUAAAAAGCAAAAGCCUCCUCUACUGUCAUCUCUUCAGCCUGAGAAUCCUCUGGAAUGGGGCUGUAAUCGCCGGGGAGAGGACCCAUCGAUGUUUCAGAAGAGUCUUCUUCAUUCUCAGGAACUUCACUAUUGGGAAGAGGUCAUUGAGUGACAGUUCCCCUUUAUAUCUGGUGGCAAGGACUCUAAUCGUCAGGCAUGAAACAACGACUUUAUAUUUCCAUCUGUCUUACCUCAGUAUGCCGGUGCCGGUGCAGGAUGUUGCACAGUUUGGCGCCCAUC